rnacentral:rRNA from 1 species
UACAGAGGGGGCAAGCGUUGUUCGGAAUUACUGGGCGUAAAGGGCGCGUAGGCGGCCCGCUAAGUCGAACGUGAAAUCCCCGAGCUCAACUCGGGAACUGCGUCCGAUACUGGUGGGCUUGAAUCCGGGAGAGGGAUGCGGAAUUCCAGGUGUAGCGGUGAAAUGCGUAGAUAUCUGGAGGAACACCGGUGGCGAAGGCGGCAUCCUGGACCGGUAUUGACGCUGAGGCGCGAAAGCCAGGGGAGCAAACGGG